CAAACAAUUAUAUGAUAGUAAUAAUAACAAAUUUUAAAUUAACACACCUUUAAAAUUUUUUGGUUUGGAAAUAUCUUCUGGCUAUGAACUUGAGCUUCUUCCCAUGACAUUUGUCGCCAUUAUCUCUUUCCGAAUAACAUCAAUAGGCAAGUUUGAAGCAAAAUUUCUAUUAUCUCGAUAAUAGAACAUGUAUGCUUUCUGAUCCAAAAC
rnacentral:lncRNA from 1 species